rnacentral:rRNA from 1 species
GUCUACGGCCAUGCCACCCUGAACAAGCCCGAUCCCGUCUGAUCUUGAAAGCUAAGCAGGGUCGGGCCUGGUUAGUACUUGGAAGUACCUAGGAAGACCAGGUGCUAUAGGCG